AAGUCCAGUUUAUUUUGGAUUUCAAAGAGAUAUGUUCGUUACUUGAUAAUUUGAUAUUGUAUGAUUAAUUUCUUUUAUAUAUAGAAAACAAAAGCGCUUAACAAGGAGAAAAUUGCGAAUUACAAACAAAUAAGGGAAUUGCGCAUUUGUGUGAAAUAUGUAAAUUGUGCAUUAUAUCCACAUACAUAUAUAUAUACAUACAUACAUGUGUAAAUGUAAACAAUUUAAAAUCUAAAUAGAAACGAAUUGUGCGGUUACAAUUAUAAAUGUGUAAUCGGGAAUAAAAUGGGUAUGGUCGGAUAGAGGAGGUUCCCCAGACCAAUAUUGAUGUUAAAUAAAUAUAACAAAUAAGUGUUUAAAAUAUUAUCUUAUAAUCUCGGUUGCGCUCCUCCAGUAGAACCAUCAAAAUUUGUGGUGCCGUCACCAUCGUUUGGCGGCCAUCCAGAUAUAAUCCAGAAGCAGGAUGCCAUUGAGACCCUUCUCACUGCCAUUGAAAAGGCCCUAAAAGACAAAAUGCCAGAAAAGGGCGAGGUGCAGGCACAGAGUAAAUUAUUGCGCGAAUGCCGCGUCAUAGCGGCAAAGAUGCACCAUUCAAUUAGCCGCAGGAGGACGAGCAUUACGUGGAGCUCGCUUCGAAACUGCCCAUGUCUUCGGAAGAUCACGUGCGCUUCGUGCAAAACAAACUUUCACAAAAGGAAAGCACGGAUGCUAUAAUGCGGCUAAUAUUGAAGGCAAAGGGCGCAAAAGGCAGUGUGGACGGCGUACUGCGUGGUAUGCUUUCAGACGAUGUAAUAUACCAUUACAAUUUAGAGGGGCGCAAAGGGAAGGAAUCUCUACUAAAUCUAAUUGCGUAGGGUUAGUUUUUGAUAUAUUUGAUGACAAGGACAAAUACACAAUCUGUGAGGAGCUCCGGAGAUUUGUGGCCUUAAGCCUCAAUCGCUUUAAACAAAAAAACAUAAACCUAAGGCUAAAUUAAUAUAAAUUUUCUUGUAUAUAUUAGUUGUACGCUGUACAUAUUGGUUCUAAGUUGUAUAUAUUAGUUUUAACUUGUAUGUUCUAGUUUUAAGUUUUACGUAUUAGUUUUAAAUUAUAAGUUGUACAUAUUAGUUUUAAGUUGAAGUUUUUAGUUUUACUUUUAUAAAUACAAAUUUUAAGAAUUAUAAUCUUUAUGCUGAGAUAAACUUAAUGUUGUAUUAUUUUUCAGCCGAAUGUAUUAAUAAUAGGCAAAUUAUUGGUUUGAGUAUAUAUGAUUUUAUAAUUAAAUAAAGCGAAAUAAUAUAAAAAAUACUCUAUUUACUCUAUUUAAAAAAAUUGAAUUUGCUUGAAGUAACAAAUGUAUAACAAAUAUGCUUGUUACUGAUCGUUCCUGCUAACAUGUUUAUAUGUUAAAGGUAACAAACUGCUAACGAAAAUAAUAACACUAACAGAUAUGUGGGUAACAAAUAACUUUUGCUAUGCAUAACACAUAGGUAAGCUAUGCGUAACAAAAGAAUUUGUUACCCGUAACAUGCUGUCAAGAGAUUUGCCAACAAAUGUAUUUAUUCUGUUAGAGCUAGGCAGCAUGCGAUAUUUGCCAUUGGUUAGAGUGAGAUGACCAUUGAACAUCAAAUCAGAGAAUAUAAAGCAUAGAGAAGGUGCAGGUUCGAUAUCGAACAUUUGUUAGAUUUAUAGUUAGGAAUUCACCUCACAACCACAGAAGUCACGCUGUGAAAUGUUAACAUUUUUAAUAGUUCUCCACUUACUCACACAGAAUAUAAAGAGAAAUAAAUCUAUGUAUUUACGGCAUAUGAUGACAUGGCAUGUAUGCCCAAAAAGAGAAUAUGAAGAGACAUCAAUAUACAUAUGUAUGUCCAUGAUUACUCUCCCAACGAAUGUAAAGAAUUUCGUUUUGCUUGUUUAAAUUUUUGUUUUCAACCAGGCAAUCGCUUGUAUGUGCAAUGUAUGCAUAUACAUAUGUAUGUAUGCAAGUUAAUACCACCAGUUCACAUUACAUGAACAUAUUCUUUAUCUGUCAUAAAUAUGUAACAUGACACUUACGACCCAUAUGGUCCGUAUUAAGUAUCCGUAAGUAACAUUAUGUGUACUUUGCUAAUACUGUCCGCCUUAGGUGGUCCAAAAAUGUAAAAUGUAACUUGUAACAUAUGUCCUACAUAUGUCCUAUCUCAAGUGGAUUGUAGAUAUACUUCCUAGAAUGUAAGAUUAAUAUUUGUAUCUAGGCUUAAGCAAAAUAUUGUAUUUAAGAAAAUGUAAUAAAGAAAACGGCAGUUGACCACAGGCAGUUGACCACAGGGAGUUGCCCUCGGCAGUUCACCACGGGCAGUUGCCCGUAGUUGCCCACGAAAACUAAACGGAGUUAUUAAUUGGCGAUCCUGCCAGGAGAUGAAAUAAUCUCUGGCGGACCAAAAUGUAACAAUAAAUUUCGGCGGUAACCAUUUAAGGAGACAAAAAAUCCCCGUGUUACCGUUUGAAAAACAAUCAAGUAUCCUCAAUUGAGGAGAAAAGUAAAAAAAAGUUCAAAAAACGCUAAGUCCAAAAAGAGACACAUAAUCAAAAAAAUCUCAGCCACUUAGAAAAUUAUUGAAAAAAUUUGUGCCUACUGCCAAUCGAACGCGCCUCAUCUAUACGGAUUACGAGCGAAAAACAAGCUAACGUACGCGUUACAACAAUUGAAAAAAUAAGUAAAAUUGAGAAACAAAAAACUACAACAGUUUCACAAAUAAAGUGAUUUUAAAAUGUGAAUUGAAAAACCAAAAACUGAAAGUGAAAGUUUUUGAAAAUUUCAAACAAAUAGAAGAAAGUGCGUGGAUCUAUAAACUAUCCACAUAAAAACAAAUAAAUAAAAAAAAUUCUGUAAAUCAGAAAUUUCACCAAAAAACUGAUUUCAUUUAAAUCUCGCACACGGCCGCCAACGACGACCAUUGCACAACCAACCCCCAAAAUUCGACUUAAAAAGCAACAGCAACAGCAAAGUCAACAAUAGCCGCAACAGUAGUAACAGCAGCAACAGCAGCAAUAGCAACAGUAACAACAGCAGCAGUAGAAGCAGCAACAUAAAAUUAGUUGUAAGUAAGGCUUAUACAUAUGUAUUUAUUAAUUAAAUUAAGUAUAUAAAUUGUUUAUUGUGAGUAUUAAUUUGCUUCAUGAAACUCACAAAUAUAUACAUAUAUAAAAAAAAAACAAACAAAACCGAAAAAUAAAUUUAAAGGAAAAAAAUAUAAUUCUUUGGGAGCAGAGACUCCUGAAGUGCCUGCCGAAGAUUUUUCCGGCAAUAUUUUAUUAACAAAAAAAAAUAUUUUGGGACAAAAAGGUCCUAAAACGCCAGCUGAAGAUUCAUACCAGCAGAGUAAAAAGAAGAAUUAUACAAAAUAUUGUAGAACGAAAAUGUUCUACAACGCCAGCCGAAGUUGAUACCGGCAAAAUAAAACAAAAAAAUAAUGGAAAAAUAUAUAAAAUAAAUAUAAAUAUAUAUAUGUAAAUCAAAAUAUAAAAAUUCAAAAUUUAUAUUACUUUGAACAAAAAAGUCUUAAGGCACCAGCCGAAGAAAGUACCGGCAAUACUAAAAAUAAAAAAAUACUUUAAAAUUGUGGAACAAAAAGUUCAACAAUGCCAGCCGAAGAUUUUACCGGUAUAAUAAAACAAAAAAGAAUGGCGAAAAGCCAAAUAGAAUAUAAAAAUACUAAAUUUAAAAUACUUGGGACUAGAAAAUCCUAAGACGCCAGUCGAAGAUAAUACCGACAAUAAAAUAAAAGAAUAUGCUCCAAAAAAGGAGGUACUAAUAUUAUAUAUAAAUAAUUUCAAUAAUUGGGGUACUCACAAGCCAUCGUAAAGCAUCGUAAAAUCGUAAAAUUAUAAAUUUUUACACUUGCUAAAAAAAAAAAAUGUUGUUAGAUUUCAUACAAAAAUGAGUUUACACAUUUACAAUUCUCAAUGUUAUGUUUUCGAAUCGUUAUAACUUAUAACUUUAUGCGACUUGAGAAAACCCUAAAUGUAAAAGAAAAAAUUGCUGAAAUGUAUUCAGGCAAUAAUACAAUAAAAGAUGUCAUAUAUAAAAACACUUCCAUCAAAAAAUAAUUAGAAGUCAAAAAUAAUAUAAAAUGUAUCGAAAGUAUAUUUAAGAGUCAAAUUUAAAUAAAUUAAGAUUUCAAAAUAGUACUGUUCAAAUUGAUAAAAUAGUCUAUAGCCUCACGUACUACUAUAUAUCCAUUUGAAUCGGGACGCUUCAAUUUAGAGGUGGGGGAGUUAAUACCACCAGUUCACAUUACAUGAACAUAUUCUUUAUCUGUCAUAAAUAUGUAACAUGACACUUACGACCCAUAUGGUCCGUAUUAAGUAUCCGUAAGUAACAUUAUGUGUACUUUGCUAAUACUGUCCGCCUUAGGUGGUCCAAAAAUGUAAAA